rnacentral:lncRNA from 1 species
AUGAAAGAAUCAGAACAGCUUCCGCCACUCGCCUACUUGACCAUCCUCCUUGCAGCAGAACAAGCUGCUUCCAGGUCAGACAAAAAGGAGCUGGCCGGUAAGACGGACUCAAAGAAACGACCCCCAGUCCGGGAGAAUUUUCCAGAAGAUGUGAAAAGAAGAGAAGAAAAUAAUACUUUUCAGCUUCAUAUACUUCUCUAAUUUGGAUCUUUAUAAAGAUUGUCUUAUUUGAACAUAUCAUGACUAGAGCCAUUUAUACAUUUUACUUUCCACCGAGGGGUCAUUUGCUCUUCAUGGGAAUUACUGGGGUAAGUUAGCAGCUGUGCUCUUCCUUGAACUUGAACACUCCUACAGAUUUUGCAUUGGUCAGUAAUGUUGGUCAAGCUUUUCAUCUGCAAAAGGGUAAACUAUGGAAAGUGUGAAUUUAGAAACUUUUACUUUGGUACUCCCCGACUUGUCUUAUCCCGUACCUUUCUCCAUGUCCAGGCAUUUUCAGAUCUCACCUCAUCCCAGUGUCGCCUGGCUAUCUCAACUCUGUAUAUACCUGCUUGAGCUUAGCAGGGGUAGUGUUCAUUGUUAAUGGUCGCUUUCAGGGCCUCUUGCAUUGUAAUAUAGGCCAUAAAAACAGCACCAACCCCCCCCCCAAAACAAAACAAAUAAGCCAUUACAAUUCAAAAGAAUGAGGUAUUAAUUGCCAGGGAUAGAAGCUGCUCUUUUGGGUCAAGGACCACAUUAAUUCCAUAGGCAUAACCCAACCAGCUCUCCCUGUAAUGACAGACCAAGGUAUUUUGCAAUUGCUAAUGUAAUUCAUUGCAUGAUGAUUUUCUUUCUAAGUCAUUAUGAUCGUCUGGUAUUGACAGAAGCUUGCACUUCAAUUUGUAACUGCGAGGAGGCAUGUAAGAAGCACAUUUCUUCAUGGAAGUAGUAACCUUUAGUAUGUUAGGUGAGCCCACCUACUAAGAGAUACAGUGAUUAGUCAACUAAUGUGCCUGAUGAAUCCUUAUUCCUGAGCACUGUUCCAGAGAGCACUGUCUUUAAAAAAAAAACAAACAAACUCUGGAAUAUUGUUCAUCUUUGUUAAAAAAUAUGUUGUGUGACCAGUAUUAAUUGAGCUGCUAGUAUGUACGGUUUGACAUUGGUGAACAAAAUAAACUAAGCCCCUACUUUUAUGCAGCUUUCAUUCAAGCUAAUCUCUCAAAAAAAAAGUAGAAAUAGCUGGAUUAAUAAC